GCCAUUUCCACCUGGUGAAGAUUUUCAUAGA
rnacentral:piRNA from 1 species